UACGUAGGGUGCGAGCGUUGUCCGGAAUUAUUGGGCGUAAAGAGCUCGUAGGCGGCUUGUCGCGUCGGAUGUGAAAGCCCGGGGCUUAACUCCGGGUCUGCAUUCGAUACGGGCAGGCUAGAGUUCGGUAGGGGAGAUCGGAAUUCCUGGUGUAGCGGCGAAAUGCGCAGAUAUCAGGAGGAACACCGGUGGCGAAGGCGGAUCUCUGGGCCGAUACUGACGCUGAGGAGCGAAAGCGUGGGGAGCGAACAGG
rnacentral:rRNA from 1 species